CCUUUACGAGAUCUUCACAUGCUCUGCUUCAGUCAAGGAGAAGCAGGUCUGAGAGCAGGAAUAAACCCUCGACCAACAUUUUUUUUUCACGGAACUUCCACCAUUGACCAAGACGUCUUCUUUUAGCAGUAGAAGUUGUAAGCUGGGGAGAGUUGCAGAGGUUAUGGCAUUUGGGGUUUCCACUCAGCGUGGCCCUGUCAAACCCUGCUUCCCUCCUUCUAUAUGGUUCUCUUCAUCUUGCUGGCGCCACUCAAUUACGGUGGCUUCUUUUCUUGACGGAUUUUCGAUGUCCAGUAAAGCCUCUCACAGUGUUAUGGAUGGCUGGCAGGAAUCACACCAACUCCAGCAUGUUAAUAGUCCUCGUUGCAGUAUUGUUGUCUUUAGUAGUUUUCUUCAAUUUAAACGAGGUUCAAGUUAUUAUACUGGUUCAUC